rnacentral:rRNA from 1 species
AUUGAACGCUGGCGGCAGGCCUAACACAUGCAAGUCGCGCGAGCGGCGGACGGGUGAGUAAUGUAUGGGGACUGCCCGAUAGAGGGGGAUAAAUACUGGAAACGGUGGCUAAUACCGCAUACUGUCGGAUAACCCAUAUGGGAUUAGCUAGUAGGUAAGGUAAUGGCGUACCUAGGCGACGAUCCCUAGCUUGUCUGAGAGGAUGCUCAGCCACACUGGGAGUGUGACACGUCCCAGACUCCUACGGCGGCAGCAGUGGGGAAUAUUGCACAAUGGGCGCAAGCCUGAUGCAGCCAGUCCUCGUGUAUGAAGAAGGCCCUAGGGUUGUAAAGUACUUUCAGUCGAGAGGCGUUACCGACCGAAGAAGCAGCGGCUAACUCCGUGCCAGCAGUCGCGGUAAUUC